rnacentral:rRNA from 1 species
GAUGAACGCUGGCGGCGUGCCUAAUACAUGCAAGUCUAGCGAACGGACGAGAAGCUUGCUUCUCUGAUGUUAGCGGCGGACGGGUGAGUAACACGUGGAUAACCUACCUAUAAGACUGGGAUAACUUCGGGAAACCGGAGCUAAUACCGGAUAAUAUUUUGAACCGCAUGGUUCAAAAGUAAAAGACGGUCUUGCUGUCACUUAUAGAUGGAUCCGCGCUGCAUUAGCUAGUUGGUAAGGUAACGGCUUACCAAGGCAACGAUGCAUAGCCGACCUGAGAGGGUGAUCGGCCACACUGGAACUGAGACACGGUCCAGACUCCUACGGGAGGCAGCAGUAGGGAAUCUUCCGCAAUGGGCGAAAGCCUGACAGAGCAACGCCGCGUGAGUGAUGAAGGUCUUCGGAUCGUAAAACUCUGUUAUUAGGGAAGAACAUAUGUGUAAGUAACUGUGCACAUCUUGACGGUACCUAAUCAGAAAGCCACGGCUAACUACGUG